GAUGAACGCUAGCUACAGGCUUAACACAUGCAAGUCGAGGGGAAACGACAUCGAAAGCUUGCUUUUGAUGGGCGUCGACCGGUGCACGGGUGAGUAACGCGUAUCCAACCUGCCCAUCACUUGGGAAUAACCUUGCGAAAGUAAGACUAAUACCCAAUGAUAUCCCACGAAGGCAUCGGAAUAGGAUUAAAGAUUUAUCGGUGAUGGAUGGGGAUGCGUCUGAUUAGCUUGUUGGCGGGGUAACGGCCCACCAAGGCAACGAUCAGUAGGGGUUCUGAGAGGAAGGUCCCCCACAUUGGAACUGAGACACGGUCCAAACUCCUACGGGAGGCAGCAGUGAGGAAUAUUGGUCAAUGGGCGAGAGCCUGAACCAGCCAAGUAGCGUGCAGGAAGACGGCCCUAUGGGUUGUAAACUGCUUUUAUAAGGGAAUAAAGUGGGUCACGUGUGACUUUUUGCAUGUACCUUAUGAAUAAGGACCGGCUAAUUUCGU
rnacentral:rRNA from 1 species